rnacentral:rRNA from 1 species
CACGUAGGGCGCAAGCGUUGUCCGGAAUUACUGGGCGUAAAGAGUGCGUAGGCGGUUCUUUGUGUCCGCUGUGAAAGCCCCGGGCUUAACCUGGGAAUGGCAGUGGAAACUAGAGAACUUGAAUCUGGCAGAGGGGGGUGGAAUGCCACGUGUAGCAGUGAAAUGCGUAGAUAUGUGGCGGAACACCGAUGGCGAAGGCAGCCCCCUGGGCUGAGAUUGACGCUCAGGCACGAAAGCGUGGGGAGCAAACAGG